UAACCUGCUAAAUAGCCAGGCUAGCUUUGGCUGGUCGCCGGCUUCUUAGAGGGACUAUCGGCUCAAGCCGAUGGAAGUUUGAGGCAAUAACAGGUCUGUGAUGCCCUUAGAUGUUCUGGGCCGCACGUAAGUUCUGCAACUCUAUUUUUUUUGAAUUACUGCUAACAUGUUUCAUAGGCGCGCUACACUGACAGAGCCAACGAGUUCAUCACCUUGGCCGAAAGGUCUGGGUAAUCUUGUUAAACUCUGUCGUGCUGGGGAUAGAGCAUUGCAAUUAUUGCUCUUCAACGAGGAAUUCCUAGUAGGCGCAAGUCAUCAGCUUGUGCCGACUACGUCCCUGCCCUUUGUACACACCGCCCGUCGCU
rnacentral:rRNA from 1 species